UACAGAGGGUGCAAGCGUUGUUCGGAAUUACUGGGCGUAAAGCGCACGUAGGCGGCUUUUUAAGUCAGGGGUGAAAUCCCGGAGCUCAACUCCGGAACUGCCCUUGAAACUGGGAAGCUAGAAUCUUGGAGAGGCGAGUGGAAUUCCGAGUGUAGAGGUGAAAUUCGUAGAUAUUCGGAAGAACACCAGUGGCGAAGGCGACUCGCUGGACAAGUAUUGACGCUGAGGUGCGAAAGCGUGGGGAGCAAACAGG
rnacentral:rRNA from 1 species